rnacentral:rRNA from 1 species
GUGACGUUACCAAACUGUUGCCUCGGCGGGGUCACGCCCCGGGUGCGUCGCAGCCCCGGAACCAGGCGCCCGCCGGAGGAACCAACCAAACUCUUUCUGUAGUCCCCUCGCGGACGUAUUUCUUUACAGCUCUGAGCAAAAAUUCAAAAUGAAUCAAAACUUUCAACAACGGAUCUCUUGGUUCUGGCAUCGAUGAAGAACGCACCGAAAUGCGAUAAGUAAUGUGAAUUGCAGAAUUCAGUGAAUCAUCUAAUCUUUGAACGCACAUUGCGCCCGCCAGUAUUCUGGCGGGCAUGCCUGUCCGAGCGUCAUUUCAACCCUCGAACCCCUCCGGGGGAUCGGCGUUGGGGAUCGGGACCCCUCACACGGGUGCCGGCCCCUAAAUACAGUGGCGGUCUCGCCGCAGCCUCUCCUGCGCAGUAGUUUGCACAACUCGCACCGGGAGCGCGGCGCGUCCACGUCCGUAAAACACCCAACUUUCUGAAAUGUUGACCUCGGAUCAGGUAGGAAUACCCGCUGAACUUAAGCAUAUCAAUAAGCGGAGGAAA